rnacentral:rRNA from 1 species
AAAGCUCAAAUUUAAAAUCUGGUAGUCUUUGGCUGCCCGAGUUGUAAUCUAGAGAAGUGUUAUCCGCGUUGGACCGUGUAUAAGUCUCCUGGAAUGGAGCGUCAUAGAGGGUGAGAAUCCCGUCUUUGACACGGACUACCAAGGCUUUGUGAUGCGCUCUCAAAGAGUCGAGUUGUUUGGGAAUGCAGCUCUAAAUGGGUGGUAAAUUCCAUCUAAGGCUAAAUACUGGCGAGAGACCGAUAGCGAA